rnacentral:rRNA from 1 species
UGCCAGCAGCCGCGGUAAUACGUAGGGAGCGAGCGUUAUCCGGAAUUAUUGGGCGUAAAGCGUGCGUAGGCGGUUCGUUAAGUCAAAUCUGAAAGCCCACAGCUUAACUGUGGAGGGUGAUUUGAAACUGGCGAGCUUGAGUACGGCAGAGGUUAGUGGAAUUCAAUGUGUAGCGGUGGAAUGCGUAGAUAUAUUGAGGAACACCAGUGGCGAAGGCGGCUAACUGGACCGGAACUGACGCUGAUGCACGAAAGCGUGGGGAGCAAAACGGAUUAGAUA